GAUGAACGCUGGCGGCGUGCCUAAUACAUGCAAGUCGAACGAAACUUCUUUAUCACCGAGUGCUUGCACUCACCGAUAAAGAGUUGAGUGGCGAACGGGUGAGUAACACGUGGGCAACCUGCCCAAAAGAGGGGGAUAACACUUGGAAACAGGUGCUAAUACCGCAUAACCAUAGUUACCGCAUGGUAACUAUGUAAAAGGUGGCUAUACUACCGCUUUUGGAUGGGCCCGCGGCGCAUUAGCUAGUUGGUAGGGUAAAGGCUUACCAAGGCAAUGAUGCGUAGCCGAAUUGAGAGGUUGAUCGGCCACAUUGGGACUGAGACACGGCCCAAACUCCUACGGGAGGCAGCAGUAGGGAAUCCUCCACAAUGGGCGAAAGCCUGAUGGAGCAACGCCGCGUGGGUGAAGAAGGUCUUCGGAUCGUAAAACCCUGUUGUUAGAGAAGAAAGUGCGUGAGAGUAACUGUUCACGUUUCGACGGUAUCUAACCGGAAAGCCACGGCUAACUACGUG
rnacentral:rRNA from 1 species